rnacentral:rRNA from 1 species
UUCCAGACUCCUACGGGAGGCAGCAGUGGGGGAUAUUGCACAAUGGGGGGAACCCUGAUGCAGCGACGCCGCGUGGGUGAAGGAGUAUUUCGGUAUGUAAAGCUCUAUCAGCAGGGAAGAAAAUGACGGUACCUGAGUAAGAAGCCCCGGCUAACUACGUGCCAGCAGCCGCGGUAAUACGUAGGGGGCAAGCGUUAUCCGGAUUUACUGGGUGUAAAGGGAGCGUAGACGGCAGUGCAAGUCUGGAGUGAAAGGCGGGGGCUCAACCCCCGGACUGCUCUGGAAACUGUACGGCUGGAGUGCAGGAGAGGUAAGUGGAAUUCCUAGUGUAGCGGUGAAAUGCGUAGAUAUUAGGAGGAACACCAGUGGCGAAGGCGGCUUACUGGACUGUAACUGACGUUGAGGCUCGAAAGCGUGGGGAGCAAACAGGAUUAGAUACCCCCGUAUA